GAUCCAGUCUUCUAUAUAUAUCGAUGGUCGGAACGUCUGGUAGCAUCUCUGGCUGCUGUUGACCUUGUUUUUGGAGUAAAACACGAUGUUCAGAGGGAGAUGAUGCCACAUCUGGUCCAGCUGAUGGAAGGUCUUGAAGUUCUCUGACUGGCCUCGACUGAAGAUGGUCGUCUCACUGGAUUUAAGAUGCACAAUGAGGGACGUCUGCAGAGACUGAGAAAGAGUCUCACCACAUCCUGACAUGAGGAAAAAGACUUUAUUGAAGACUACAAUGAGAAAAACUAUCAGACAGCAGACGGCUGCAUUCAAGUCUGUAGCUGCUGAAUUCAUGGAUGAAUCAUCUGGCACUCGAGAGGAAGACCAUCAAACAUCCACAUCAGCUGAUGGAGGUCCAAGAGUCUCACCCAACAAACAACCUACAGAGUGAAGACCUCAAAUCUGAUUGGACGGCCUCCUAUUCAGCCACAUGUGUGAACAAAUGCCUCUAAGCUGAUUUGUUUUCUAAAAUAAAUCUAGUUUGAGUUCUAAUCUAUGCCUGAGUGUUUGCUUCUUUACACCGCUGUUAACAGUUUAGGCUGUUAGAUUGUUCCAGAUAAGACAAGUACAAGAUUCUUCAGAGCCGUUCUACCACGAGCCUGACAGGAAGAACUCCAACAUCUACUGAAUGUUCCUGUGGUUCCCUCAAGGCUACAGGAGGAGUCCUACGAGGACGAGCCGGUCCACCUGAUGGUGGCCAGUCGCAGCGGUUCAAAGCCAACACCGACUACGUGGACUUCUACUGGACCACACGGAGGCCUUCAAACCAGACCAACAAGUUCAGCGACUCCCCAACUCGUGGGUCUGAGGACGCCGCCGAGCCUCGGUCCAGCCGGCCUCCUGUCUGUGGGUGUUUGAGUGCUGAGAGGUUU
ensembl:lncRNA